rnacentral:rRNA from 1 species
UACAGAGGGUGCGAGCGUUGUCCGGAAUCACUGGGCGUAAAGGGCGCGUAGGCGGUCUGGUAAGCGUGUGGUGAAAGCUCGGGGCUCAACCCCGAGUCGGCCGUGCGAACUGCUGGACUGGAGCAUGUCAGAGGCAGGCGGAAUUCCGGGUGUAGCGGUGGAAUGCGUAGAGAUCCGGAAGAACACCGAUGGCGAAGGCAGUCUGCUGGGCCACUACUGACACUGAGGCACGAAAGCGUGGGGAGCGAACGGG